rnacentral:rRNA from 1 species
GACGAACGCUAGCGGCAGGCCUAACACAUGCAAGUCGAACGGUAAGGUCCCUUCGGGGAUACACGAGUGGCGCACGGGUGCGUAACGCGUAUACAACUUACCCCAAAGCGGGGGAUAGCCCGGAGAAAUCCGGAUUAAUACCCCAUGGUCUUAUAAGGUUGCAUAAUCUAAUAAGUAAAGAUUUAUCGCUUUGGGAUGGGUAUGCGUCUGAUUAGCUAGUUGGUGAGGUAACGGCUCACCAAGGCAACGAUCAGUAGCUGGUCUGAGAGGAUGAUCAGCCACACGGGAACUGAGACACGGUCCCGACUCCUACGGGAGGCAGCAGUGAGGAAUAUUGGACAAUGGGGGCAACCCUGAUCCAGCCAUGCCGCGUGAAGGAAGACGGCCCUCCGGGUUGUAAACUUCUUUUGUAUGGGGCUAAUUAUGAGCUAUACGCUCAUUUGAAGGUACCAUAAGAAUAAGCACCGGCUAACUACG